UUUAUAUUCAAACGUUGCCCGAAAUUUCGUUAAAUUGUAGCGCUCAAUUAGGUACCAUCAGUUAAAUUUAUCAGCUCUACUAAUUCAAGAUGCUAGCUGUGGAGUUGGAUGCACUGUCCCAAUUCAGCGAAACAAGCAUUGCCGCUAAAGAGUCGGCGGCACAGUGGUGUCACAUAUCAAGAUUACAUUCAAGAGAGUAUGUUCGAAAUACUAUGUCUGAUACUUCACCUAUACGGUAUAAG